AAAAUUUCAAAUGCAUUAAAAGGAAUUGGAGUUUCAUGUUAGUUAAAGCAUUAUCUGGUUUGAAAUUCAAUUUUGAAAAGAGUUUACUCUUUUGUUGUUUGUCAUUUUGGACAAGUCUAAAUAUGGUUGUCUAUUCCCAAGGUAUCUUUAAAGACUGUGCCAGUGGUCCUUGCACAUUAUUAUACUAUUGAUUCAGUUCUACUGGCAGAGAUGAGAUUAAAAG
rnacentral:misc_RNA from 1 species